GAGCACCCGGGAAAUAUGGAGUUUCACGCUGGACUGCAAGAAAUUAUCGCUUACUACGUUUACGCACCCCUGCUGCACACGUUCAUGUUCUGUACGAGCGUCCUUUAUCAUUCUUGGCAUAUUCUUGUUAACGGAUUUUUAACGAACGGGGACUCAUUAUUUACCCAUGUUCUUUGGCGUAAGAACGCCACAAGUUACACAAUGGAUUUGAUGAACAACGUUGAUCGAUGGGGUAACACACAAGCAGCGCUCAAGGACUUCAUGAUUAAUUUCAGCUGCGACAAGUGCAACUACACAGCACGUGACCCAAUUCGUUACCAGAAAUGUGACCACCUAUUUUGCACAACAUGUAUUGGGUCUAAAUCCCAAUGCCCAGUAUGUAAUACUCCAGCCGAAAGAAAUGAAGUUUACCCUGACAAAAUAACACAAAAGUUGAUUGGUUAUGGCAACACGAUUUCUCAAAUAGUUCAUAAGUCUUAUCCAUCAAUGAAAAACGAUGACACAGCUCCGAGUAUUAAUUUGUCAAUAAAAGAACAUAAUGUUUCAACCAAGUCACAGAGUAUUCCCAAAAAUAUAAAUAAACCAAAUAUGAACGGGGAAACACCACUGCACAAAGCAUGUUUAAAGAGAAACAUUGAAAAGGUUCGUUCUCUACUAGAGGCAGGAGCAAACCCCAAUACACAAGAUCAUGCUAAGUGGACUCCUUUGUUCGAGGCAACUAGUUAUGGAUAUUACGAAAUCUGUAAGCUUCUUCUUGAGGCAGGGGCAAAUCCAGAUACACCAGUUGAACAGAAUCGAACAGCUUUACAUGAGGCAGUUAAAUACAACAAUAUUGAAAUGAUAAAACUUCUGCAGCAAUACAAAGCUGAUGUCAAUGCAUGUGACAGUUCUGGUAAAACACCGCUUGAUUAUGCAUCUGAAGAGGUCCACAAAAUUUUAACAUCUUAUAAACCUGCGGACAACAGUCUGGAAAAAAGUUUGUCAAAUAUUUCAAACAUAACAGCAUUGUACAACAACACUUUGACUAGCAAUGGAACUCAUGUACUUGGAUUAAACUUGAGUAGCGAGAGCCAGCUCCUGCUUUCUGAACUAGCUAGUAAAUACAAAAUUAAAACAGUCAAAACGUUUACAGCUGCUGUAACUCACGUUGUUGUGGAAGCUAAUAUUCAGUGUGAUACCCCUGUGAAUUAUGUAGUUUUACUUGCUAUUCUUCAUGGUGACUGGAUCCUCGCCAGUGAAUGUAGUGCUCAGGCAUUGCGCAAAUUUUACAGACCUUAGCACAAUAGAACUGGAAUUUUUUGAAGUACAGGGUACAACAAAUGCUCGAGGUAGUGGCGCUCCUACUCGAGCCAGAGAGAAUAUGCAGAAAAAGAACCCAGGGCUUUUCAAUGGCUGCAAUUUUUUCUUUGCAAUAAACAAC
rnacentral:misc_RNA from 1 species